GCCGGUGUACGACCAAGAGGUCAAGGUCUCGGGCGCGACUAUACGCCCGACGCGGCCCAGCCGCUUCGCAGGUUCGACUCCUGUCGCCGGCC
rnacentral:tRNA from 1 species